rnacentral:rRNA from 1 species
UACGUAGGGAGCAAGCGUUGUCCGGAAUCAUUGGGCGUAAAGCGCGCGUAGGCGGCCCUGUAAGUCCGUUGUGAAAGUCAAAGGCUCAACCUUUGAAAGCCGAUGGAUACUGCAGGGCUAGAGUCCGGAAGAGGCGAGUGGAAUUCCUGGUGUAGCGGUGAAAUGCGUAGAUAUCAUUUGGAACGCCAAUGGUGAAAACAGCUCGCUGGGAAUGAUCUGACGCUGAGACGCGAAAGCCAGGGGAGCGAACGGG